ensembl:snoRNA
CAGCCCCAUCUCAAUUUUCAAAUUGGACUUGGGCCUUUAUUGGUCAUUCAAACGGGGCAAAAGAAAUACCCUUUUAAAACUCAGGCAAACUGUGUUUGUCUUGUACCAGAGGAAAUAAAC